rnacentral:rRNA from 1 species
UGGGGAAUCUUAGACAAUGGGCGCAAGCCUGAUCUAGCCAUGCCGCGUGAGUCAAGAAGGCCCUACGGUCGUAAAGCUCUUUCGCCUGUGAAGAUAAUGACUGUAGCAGGUAAAGAAACCCCGGCUAACUCCGUGCCAGCAGCCGCGGUAAUACGGAGGGGGUUAGCGUUGUUCGGAAUUACUGGGCGUAAAGCGCGCGUAGGCGGACAUUUAAGUCAGAGGUCAAAUCCCAGGGCUCAACCCUGGAACUGCCUUUCAUACUGGGUGUCUUG